rnacentral:lncRNA from 1 species
AAUAUGGUUGCGUGUUGCUGGACACACUCCUCUAUCACCACAGGGAGGGCGUCUGCUCCUGCUGACUCCAUUCUUGGUGUGUAAGACAAAACAAAUGGAAAAUGAAAAAUGGAUCGGCGAUGGCUAGAAGGCCGGUGACAUCGACCGCCGAACAUUGCCCGAACAACGAGAGGGACCGACUUCGGCGGAAGUCGUGACAAGGUGUGCAGAGUCCUGGCACCCUUUGAGCAGGUCACUGUGGAGAGAGCUAUGUGACAGCCUCAAAAAUGGUACUCCUGUGUAAGGGUCUGGAGCGAAUCACAGCUAGCCGCCAGAGAGAAGCAAAUUUAACCACAGGACAUGUGACAGAGUUGAUGGAGACCCUAUGUUCAUCAAUGGACAACGUUCCACAGAAUGGAACAUAAUCACGUGCUAUCAG